GCUUUUGCGGUAAGAAAAUGAAAUUGCGUUGAACCGCAAGAAAUCACUGCCGCCAUCAAACUGACGACAAAUGAAUGGUUUGGAACUUUGUAAGCCCAGCAGCCAACAGGCAGCAGACGACCAAGUCAGCAGAAAAUUGUUUAAAGGCUGAAACCAAAAACGUCGCGCGCUGAGCACCAAAAACAACAAAACCAAAUGGGCAACGGGCAUAUGGAUGGCUCAUAUCAUCAGCUCAAACCUAUCAGCAUCUUUGGCUCAAUUAAAGCACAGAUUUUCCAUAAAAAACUGAAGUUCGAAUGGGGCGCUCAUAAAGCGAUUUGUGACGAAAAAUAUAAACACAAGUACUCGCAGAGAUAAGCUGGCAAUCACUCAGUGCAGCUGCAGGGUUAGAAGAGACAACAAAUCUAUAGAGCAAGAAGGGUUAAUGAGAUGAUUUCAACAUUUUUUCCACAAAAAGCCUACGCAAUAAUAUUUUUUAUACUCGUAUUGAUAAUGAAGAUGUUUUA